CAGCCGCCGCGGUAAUACGUAGGUGGCAAGCGUUGUCCGGAAUUAUUGGGCGUAAAGGGCUCGCAGGCGGUUUUUUAAGUCUGAUGUGAAAGCCCCCGGCUCAACCGGGGAGGGUCAUUGGAAACUGGGAAACUUGAGUGCAGAAGAGGAGAGUGGAAUUCCACGUGUAGCGGUGAAAUGCGUAGAGAUGUGGAGGAACACCAGUGGCGAAGGCGACUCUCUGGUCUGUAACUGACGCUGAGGAGCGAAAGCGUGGGGAGCGAACAGGAUUAGAUACCCCGGUAGUCCCUGUCUCUUAUAC
rnacentral:rRNA from 1 species